rnacentral:rRNA from 1 species
UAGGGAAUCUUCCACAAUGGACGCAAGUCUGAUGGAGCAACGCCGCGUGAGUGAAGAAGGCUUUCGGGUCGUAAAACUCUGUUGUUGGAGAAGAAUGGUCGGCAGAGUAACUGUUGUCGGCGUGACGGUAUCCAACCAGAAAGCCACGGCUAACUACGUGCCAGCAGCCGCGGUAAUACGUAGGUGGCAAGCGUUAUCCGGAUUUAUUGGGCGUAAAGCGAGCGCAGGCGGUUUUUUAAGUCUGAUGUGAAAGCCCUCGGCUUA